GUAUUUUGAAUUAAGUACUCAUAAUAUUUUUCAGACAAAUUAGUUAGAGAAUGACUUAAUGUAUAAAAAUCUCGCCAAGAUUGACGAGAUCUAAAAUUGCACAAAAGGUGGAUAUGGAUUUUUAAAAAGUGCCAUAAAACACUUUAUUAUGAAUGAUCCUUCCGCAAAUUCACCUAUGGAAA
rnacentral:misc_RNA from 1 species